GCGCCUGUAGCUCAGUUGGAUAGAGUGCCUGGCUUCGAACCAGGAUGUCGGGAGUUCGAGUCUUCCCGGGCGCACCA
rnacentral:tRNA from 1 species